rnacentral:rRNA from 1 species
GCGCAGCAGGCGCGAAUUUUCACAAUGGGGAAACCCUGAUGGAGCGACGCCGCGUGGAGGAUGAAGGCCUUUUGGUCGUAAACUCCUGUCAAACGGGAACAAGAAAGUGAUAGUACCGUUAGAGGAAGAGGCGGCUAACUCUGUGCCAGCAGCCGCGGUAAUACAGAGGCCUCAAGCGUUGUUCGGAUUCAUUGGGCGUAAAGGGUGCGUAGGUGGCUUGUUAAGUUGAAGGUGAAAUCUCGGGGCUCAACUCCGAAACUGCCUUCAAUACUGGCGAGCUCGAGGAUUGUAGAGGAGAAUGGAAUUCACGGUGUAGCAGUGAAAUGCGUAGAUAUCGUGAGGAAGACCAGUGGCGAAGGCGAUUCUCUGGGCAAUUCCUGACACUGAGGCACGAAGGCCAGGGGAGCAAACGGGAUUAGAUACCCGGGUAGU